AGUGCGCGUAUCCCGGGAGCGGAUCUUGAUGCUAGCUCUGUGUGCAGUGUAAUUUUAUUAAGAGUCCCGCCCCCUCCAUACGGGAGGAAACGUGUGUCCCUGGGGCCCUCAGCCAAGCCUCCACUAUCUUUUUGGCCCAGACGGAUUUCCCAGGUCACAAGUGGCUGGAGACUUCCUCUUGAAAAACAUUUGCCGUCGUUUUUCCCUGGCAGAGCCCCUUUGACCCUGGCUAACAAGGACAGCCUGACUUGGAUCCCACUAUGCAGGAAGGAAGGCGACUCUUCCCCGCACCUCUUGCUACGAUUAGGACUUGCGACUUGGUGAAAACAGGAAUCAAAACUUGGGCCUAUUUCUCCUGAGGUCUGCUUGCCUAGAACAAUUCGUAACGAUGAAUCUUAUUAAAAAGAGAAAGUCCUCCCCGACUUUAUCUUUUUCCGCCCAGAAUCCGAUAAGGAAGACUUGUUCUGGCCCCCUCAGCUCUCUGACCUCACCUACCAGAGGAGAGAGUGGGAUCCUCUAACACUCGAGCCGUCAUCCCAGCACUAGGGGACAGUGACCAGUGUGGCUCCCGUGGCCAGAACCCUUCUGAAGUUUGGGUUGCCCUGUGGUCUUCGCCUUCAAAGCAGGCCGCCACUUGAAUCCUUCUGGAACGGACAGUGUUGCUGUAAACGCCGCGGAAUAGUAUCUUCUAAGUAUUCGUAGCUUCUUUCUUGAGGGAUCUCGGGAACGUUCCGUGUAUUAACCACUAACGUAUUCCAAAGUUAACUUCGUGGUAAAGUCGCUGGGGAAAAAAAUAACUGCUCCAGUUCCACAGGUGGAGUCUUCAUUCUCUCAUCCAGCUCCUCGGCCUCAUCGGAACAUUUCCA
rnacentral:lncRNA from 1 species